rfam:Chitinophaga sancti strain DSM 784 genome assembly, contig: LX65DRAFT_scaffold00021.21
CGAGGGUCAGCCGAAAACCUCUGUAAAAGAGUAGGCA